GACGAACGCUGGCGGCGUGCUUAACACAUGCAAGUCGAACGGAAAGGCCCCCACCUUGGUGGGUGUGCUCGAGUGGCGAACGGGUGAGUAACACGUGUGUGAUCUGCCCUGUACUUGGGGAUAAGCUUGGGACACUGGGUCUAAUACCGGAUAGGACCAUGGUUCAGUGUCGGAUGGGGGAAGAAUCAUUGUUUUGGUACGGGAUGAGCUCGCGGCCUAUCAGCUUGUUGGUGGGGUAAUGGCCUACCAAGGCGGUGACGGGUAGCCGGCCUGAGGGGGUGCACGGCUGCGUUGGGAACGGGCUACGGCGCAGCCUCCUUCGGGCCGCGGCAGUGGGGAGUAGUGCCCGAUGGGAACAUGCCUGAUGGAGCGGCGCCGCGUGGGAGAUGCCCGCCUUCGGGUUGUAAGCUCCUUUCGUUAGAGACGAAGCCCCACCUUUUUUGGGUGUGGGGACGGUUCCUUUGUUAAGAAGCACCGGCUAACUACGUG
rnacentral:rRNA from 1 species